rnacentral:rRNA from 1 species
CCUACGGGAGGCAGCAGUGGGGAAUUUUGGACAAUGGGCGCAAGCCUGAUCCAGCAAUGCCGCGUGAGUGAAGAAGGCCUUCGGGUUGUAAAGCUCUUUUGUCAGGGAAGAAACGGUCUACUCUAAUACAGUGGGCUAAUGACGGUACCUGAAGAAUAAGCACCGGCUAACUACGUGCCAGCAGCCGCGGUAAUACGUAGGGUGCAAGCGUUAAUCGGAAUUACUGGGCGUAAAGCGUGCGCAGGCGGUUAUAUAAGUCAGAUGUGAAAUCCCCGGGCUCAACCUGGGAACUGCAUUUGAGACUGUAUGGCUAGAGUGUGUCAGGAGGGGGGUAGAAUUCCACGUGUAGCAGUGAAAUGCGUAGAUAUGUGGAGGAAUACCGAUGGCGAAGGCAGCCCCCUGGGAUAACACUGACGCUCAUGCACGAAAGCGGUGGGGAGCAAACAGGAUUAGAUACCCUGGUAGUCCACGCCCUAAACGAUGUCUACUAGUUGUCGGGACUUAAUUGUCUUGGUAACGCAGCUAACGCGUGAAGUAGACCGCCGUGGGGAGUACGGUCGCAGAUUAAACUCGAAAGGAUUGACGG